rnacentral:rRNA from 1 species
GGUAUGUAAAGCUCUAUCAGCAGGGAAGAAAAUGACGGUACCUGACUAAGAAGCCCCGGCUAACUACGUGCCAGCAGCCGCGGUAAUACGUAGGGGGCAAGCGUUAUCCGGAUUUACUGGGUGUAAAGGGAGCGUAGACGGUAAAGCAAGUCUGAAGUGAAAGCCCGGGGCUCAACCCCGGGACUGCUUUGGAAACUGUUUAACUAGAGUGCUGGAGAGGUAAGCGGAAUUCCUAGUGUAGCGGUGAAAUGCGUAGAUAUUAGGAGGAACACCAGUGGCGAAGGCGGCUUACUGGACAGUAACUGACGUUGAGGCUCGAAAGCGUGGGGAGCAAACAGGAUUAGAUACCCUGGUAGUCCACGCCGUAAA